AUACUGCAUCAGGAACUGAUUGG
rnacentral:miRNA from 22 species